AACUAAAUUUAUUCUUGGUAUGAGAUUUCGUGUGCAUGCACACUUCUUCAGAUACCAAGAAGUGUAUCUGAAAAAGUGUGCAUGCACACGAAAGCUCAUACCAAGAACAAAUUUAGUUGG
rnacentral:miRNA from 1 species